GACACAGAUGAUAUCAAGAAAUAAAAUAAUUUUGGAAACAUCAAAUCAACAAUAACAUCAACAACAAAACUUGUACGCUCUUACAGGCUAGGAAAGCUAUUUUGGAGUUCUGAGAUUAUGCUUUAAAUAAGAUAUAUCAGCAUUGUUUUGAUCCAGUGGGAGACUCUGAUGUGGAAGCUUCACCUAACCUAAUACAUAAUUAAAUGUGGAUAGUAUAUAUCUUUAUAUUUUGACACAAAAAUGAAAAGUCAGUCUACAUUAAGGCAGGGAGUAUAUGGAAGUGUGUAAUGACUGUGAUGUUUGGAUCACUGUUUUAUUGUCUGAUUUUCUUGAGAAGACUGCAGGCUUCUGGCUCUGGUUCUAUGCUCUCCCAUGGUGGCAUCGUUCUCUCAGAGGGGUCGUCUGUUUUCUCAUUGCUAUUUCAUUUAAAUAAUUAUGAGGAACCUUUUUUUCAGCUCAGCUUCAACCCAUUUCACAUAUGCAGUGGCCAUGCGUGAUGAUCUCUGCCUUCACCCUAUUUAAGUCCAUCAGGUGGCGUCACCUGUUCCACAAGUCAUCAUUGGCAGAGACUCAGUGACACUCCCUGCAUUUUCCUCCUAUGCUAUUCCUGGGCCUGUUUACUCCAAGGUCCAUUCCUUGACUUUCCAACUUUUCCCUGCUCUGCUCCAUAUCAUGAGUUGUGGACCCUGGCAGCCCCCAUAUCAGUUGGAUUCUGGCAGAGUUGGGCCAGUGGGAGAGUGGGCACUGGGGUGAGAUUAGCGAGGGGGUGGGGAGGGGAACAAGCUGGGAUAUUUCUCUCCCUCCCAUUGCCUCAGGUAGGAUCUCCAGGAGGAGCUGCAUCUUCUCCUUGGCUCCAGUUGCUUCUGAACAGGUUCUCUAAGGUCCCAGAUUUUGCUGUGUGACAUAGUCCUCUGGUCCCUUCACAUCUGCCUCUGUCCCUCUCUUCUAAAGGCAGCAGUAGCCUUUCCUAUGUUUAUCCGAAGGGGACAUUACUGGCCAUGUUUGGCUUAUCAGCUCUUUCAUUACCUGUGUAAACAAGUCUUUGAAGCCAGUUUACUCUUUUUCAGUACAAAGAAUUGUUUCUAUUUUCCUAGUUGGGGCCUGAACAAUACACACUCUACACUCCUUCUACAUUAUUCUCUACAAACCACUUUCAAUGAAGGCAAAAUUCAAAUGUUCUCAUCCAGCUGAUUCCUUCAGCCAUAUCAGACUAAAUACCUCACUUCCUAAUGAGCAUUUUCAUUGCUUGGUGUUCAGAUUUUUUAAAAAAUUACCAUUCUGAAUUCUUCUUGCCUAGCGUACAUGGCUAGAAAUUAUCUGUCUACCUCUGGACCUCUCGGAUUCUUUGUACUUACUUUAAGUGUAUACCAAUGCUGCUUUAAAUCCAUUAUUUAAAAGCAUGUCUUCUCAGCCCUACUACAUUGUAAGCCCUUUAAAUUCAGUCACAAUAUCUUUUCUGUGUAUUUCUAGCAUAAUAUCAUGUACCUAGUAGAUACCCACAAAUAUUUUUUCAAAUGUGUAAAUGACAAGUACUUUCAAAGCAAAAAUGAAGUUUAUAUAAAAAGACUUCCUUGAGAGUAAUGAUGUCAGUUGCCAAUUGCUAGAAAGAACCCAAAAGAAAAACAGAGAACUUGUUCUUCUGAAACACCUGAGAGAAUUGGACUACGUAUAUGAAGAGGAUGUACCAUGACACACUGGUAGAUUGAGAGUGUUAAUAUUCUCUUCCUAGAGAUUGACACACCCUUCGAUUUUACCAAGAGUAAUUUUUUUUUUUUUUGCUUUUUUUUAGGGCUGCACCUGUGGCAUAUGGAGGUUCCCAGGCUAGGGGUCAAAUCAGAGCUAUAGCUUCCAGCUUACACCACAGUCACAGCAACGCGGGAUCUGAGCCACAUCUGUGACCUACACCACGGCUCACGGCAAUGCCAGAUCCUUAACCCAUGGAGCAAGGCCAGGGCUUGAACCUGCAUCCUCAUGGAUGCUAGUCAGAUUCAUUUCUGCUGAGCCAUGACGGGAACUCCUUACCAAGAAUACUAAUCUAAUAAGAUUUUCUUAUGUUCUGGUGAUUACUUUGUUUUCUCUUAUGUAAGUGGGUACUGUUCCUUGGUGGUAGCCUACCCAGUGUUCAUUCCUCUCUUCCUCCUUUCUGUGUACUUCCACCUCAAAGUUCAUGGCUUCUGGAGAAAGAUGGCACUAUUCUCAGCUAAUGAGUGGACAUGUAUUAGUCUAACCCAGUCAGGACAGUCUGAUUCUCCUUACUGCAGUGAUUAGUUCAGAUAACCCGGACUUAAGCCAGUCAGCUCAUAGAAUUCCUUUGGCCAAUCUGGACAGAGACUGUUUAAAAAAGGAUUUAUGGGAUUUCUUGUCAUGGUUCAGUGGUAAAGAACCCAGCUAGUAUCCAUGAGGAUGCGGGUUUGAUCCCUGGCCUUUCGCAGUGGGUUAAGGAUCUGGCGUUGCCAUGAACUAUGGUGUAGGUUGCAAAAGCGGCUCAGAUCCCACGUUGCUGUUGCUGUGGUGUAGGCCACCAAGUGCAGCUCCGAUUCAACCACUAGCCUGGGAACUUCCAUGUGCUGUGGGUGCGGCCCUAAAGAAAGAAAAGGAAAGGAGAGGAAAGGAAAUAAUGAAAGGAUUUAUGAUCCAAUUUAGGUCAGUGAGACAUAGAAGAGGCAUCUAGAAACUUCUAAGGAAGCUGCUAGAAGAAAUGUUCUGUCCCGUUGCAGACUAUGCAGUAUGUAGGUAUGAUGCUGAGAAUUGUUAUAACCAACAUUGCUUCUGUGAUGGAAAUCAGCAUUAGGAUAAAGCUGAUCCUAUGGAAAACAGAGUGGGAACAUGUAAGUAAACAAGGUCCUUGGUCACAUCCAUUGAGUCAUUGACUCAGAAUACCUUCUACCUCUAGACUCUUCUACUUGACUAACUCUUGGAAUAAGGUUUGCUUUUGACUAUCUCAAGUGACAGACCAUGCCACUAACUAAAUUAUUCAAGUCAAAUCUUGAGUCAAUGAAGUCUCUAACCACAAGGGGUAAAAUUAAACUAUUAGAGGUGGAACCAAAGGGACAGAACACCUGUGCCUCUUCAAUGACUUUAGCCUUCCUUCUUUCUUGUUUUCCUCUUUUUCACCAUUGUCCUCGAGAUACUCCCACUUUCAACAUGGGAUAUUUAAUUAUUAAAAUACGUGUAGUGUUAAGGGAGCAUGUUUAGGCAGUGCUCGCUUCACUCAACAGACUAAAAAGGAAUUUAGGAUUCUCAAAUACAGAGGACCUUGGAAGAGAGAUAUACAUGACUAAAAGCCCUACACCAAUACAUUUUGACAAAUGCGGAAGAAUAAAGCCUCGAAGCUACAGAACUGUUGAGAAAAACUGAAUUGGCCACUGAAAUGUUUUGACAAAUACCAGAAAAUAAAAAUAUGGAAUGAAGGACUAAAGUUUGAGUAAGAGCAUGGAAUCAAAACAUAACAUGAUUUAGACCUGAGCACAUGGAUCUCAGAAUAGUCGGUCCAACUUUUGUGUUUAAUUCUUGGUCUUAUCUUGGGACUAAGCUUUCUUUUUUCUUUUUUUCUUUUUCUUUUUUUUUUUUUUUUUGUCUUUUUGCUAUUUCUUUGGGCCGCUCCCGCGGCAUGUGGAGGUUCCCAGUCUAGGGGUCGAAUCGGAGCUGUAGCCCCUGGCCUACGCCAGAACCACAGCAACGCAGGACCCGUGCCGCAUCUGAAACCUACACCACAGCUCACAGCAACGCCGGAUCAUUAACCCACUGAGCAAGGGCAGGGACUGAACCCACAACCUCAUGGUUCCUAGUCGGUUUCGUUAACCACUGCGCCACGACAGGAACUCCGGGACUAAGCUUUCUUAUCUGUAAAAUGGGGGUAGUAAUACUUGUCUUAUGGUAUUGUAAAAACUUAAUGAGAAGUAUUUAUUUAAAUGUCCUAAGACAUAGUAGGCAACAAGAAUAGUCUCUUCCUCCUUUUGUCAUUACUCUUCCUUGUAUCAUCACUAAGCAAUGGCUGUUGGCUCUCAACUUCCUGUCCCUUGAUUUUGUUUUACUGAGUUACUUUGGUCAACCUGACUCUGGAGGAGUAAGAUCUCUCCAGCCUUGGAUUUGUGCUAAUAUCUCUGAGUUGACAUAUCCCAGGGAGAAAUGACAGAUAGAUGAGAUUUAUCUAGGAUCAGAGUUGAAGAGUAAACUUGAUUAAACUAGGUCUUACUUGUAAGCCAUAUUCACGUGAUGUGAGUAAGGAAAGAAAGAAGCAGCACUUCCCUCUCAGAAGAGGUCGUGUCAAAGUAGAGUCACUGAUGAGGCUACAGAAAGAGACUGAAAGCACAUGCAAGAAAUCAGGGCAGCCACUGACAUUUCAAGGUCAAAAUCAAGGACAUCCUGGGGCCUUGAAGAAAUCACCCUCUUUGAUAUUCACAGCCAACAUGUAUAUGCAGUAUAUAAAAAGUCUAAAUGAAUUUCUGAAGUAGCUUAAAUAUUAUAACCUCUGAGAUACCAUCUGCAAUUAUCCCAACCUCAGUGGCUUCUACCUGUGAACUCCUUCCCACUGUGUCCAUGCUGCUGUACGACCACUUAUCUGCUCAGUUGCAUUUCAGUGCUCAUUUGUGUGCCCCUCUAAACUGAACUCCUGAUAAAAGGAACCACACUAGACUCUUUUUUUUUUUUUUUUCCCUCAAGAGCCUAGCUUAGGAUCUACAUGAGGAAUAUACGUCAGAAGAUUCCAGUUGGGUAGAGUCUUAUUACUGCCUAGAUCUAUGACCUCCCCCUCCCCCCAAUCUUUAAAAUAACACUUUUUGAAGUUUCCAAAUCUGUCAUAUGCCUAUAGAGAAUCUGAUAUCUGGAUCAAUUCAGUUUAUCAAUUCUUAGCAAGUCACAUUUGAAUGUGACCCUCAUGAC
rnacentral:lncRNA from 1 species